CUAUAUUUGUCAGCUAAGUGGCGCACGGGUGAGUAAUGUAUAGAUAACCUGCCCUUAAGAAAGGAAUAACAGUUGGAAACGACUGCUAAUGCCCUAUAUGCCUUUAAUACAUAAGUAUGCAAGGGAAACGCUUUAGUGCUUAAGGAUGGGUCUGUAUGGUAUCAGCUUGUUGGUGAGGUAAUGGCUCACCAAGGCUAUGACGCCUAACUGGUUUGAGAGGAUGAUCAGUCACACUGGAACUGAGACACGGUCCAGACUCCUACGGGAGGCAGCAGUGGGGAAUAUUGCACAAUGGACGAAAGUCUGAUGCAGCAACGCCGCGUGGAGGAUGACACAUUUCGGUGCGUAAACUCCUUUUAUAUAGGAAGAUAAUGACGGUACUAUAUGAAUAAGCACCGGCUAACUCCGUGCCAGCAGCCGCGGUAAUACGGAGGGUGCAAGCGUUACCCGGAAUCACUGGGCGUAAAGAGCGUGUAGGCGGGUAUAUAAGUCAGAAGUGAAAUCCAAUAGCUCAACUAUUGAACUGCUUUUGAAACUGUAUACCUAGAAUGUGGGAGAGGUAGAUGGAAUUUCUGGUGUAGGGGUAAAAUCCGUAGAGAUCAGAAGGAAUACCGAUUGCGAAGGCGAUCUACUGGAACAUUAUUGACGCUGAGACGCGAAAGCGUGGGGAGCAAACAGGAUUAGAUACCCUGGUAGUCCACGCCCUAAACGAUGUACACUAGUUGUUGUGAGGCUCGACCUUGCAGUAAUGCAGUUAACACAUUAAGUGUACCGCCUGGGGAGUACGGUCGCAAGAUUAAA
rnacentral:rRNA from 1 species